GGGGUCAGUUCGGCUGGAUCGGUGACAGGUGCUGCAUGGCUGUCGUCAGCUCGUGUCGUGAGAUGUUGGGUUAAGUCCCGCAACGAGCGCAACCCUUGUCCUUAGUUGCCAGCAUUCAGUUGGGCACUCUAAGGAGACUGCCGGUGUCAAACCGGAGGAAGGUGGGGAUGACGUCAAGUCCUCAUGGCCCUUAUGUCCAGGGCUACACACGUGCUACAAUGGCCGGUACAAAGGGGCGCAAGACCGCGAGGUGGAGCAAAUCCCAAAAAACCGGUCUCAGUUCGGAUUGGAGUCUGCAACUCGACUCCAUGAAGUUGGAAUCGCUAGUAAUCGCGUAUCAGCAUGACGCGGUGAAUACGUUCCCGGGCCUU
rnacentral:rRNA from 1 species